GUACGGAAGGCAGCAGUAAGGAAUAUUGGACAAUGCCCGCAAGGGUGAUCCAGCCAUGCCGCGUGCAGGAAGACGGCCCUAUGGGUUGUAAACUGCUUUUACACCGGAGAAAACCUCCCCUCGUGAGGGGAGCUGAUAGUAUGGUGAGAAUAAGCAUCGGCUAACUUCGUGCCAGCAGCCGCGGUAAGACGAAGGAUGCAAGCGUUAUCCGGAUUCAUUGGGUUUAAAGGGAGCGUAGGUGGCCUUAUAAGUCAGUGGUGAAAUCUCUGGGCUUAACCCAGAAAUUGCCAUUGAUACUGUAGGGCUUGAGUACAGUUGCUGUGGGCGGAAUAUGACAUGUAGUGGUGAAAUACAUAGAGAUGUCAUAGAACACCGAUUGCGAAGGCAGCUCACAAAACUGUAACUGACACUGAGGCUCGAAAGUGCGGGGAUCAAACAGGAUUAGAUACCCCCGUAGUCCG
rnacentral:rRNA from 1 species